rnacentral:rRNA from 1 species
GAUGAACGCUAGCUACAGGCUUAACACAUGCAAGUCGAGGGGCAGCAUGGUCUUAGCUUGCUAAGGCCGAUGGCGACCGGCGCACGGGUGAGUAACACGUAUCCAACCUGCCGUCUACUCUUGGACAGCCUUCUGAAAGGAAGAUUAAUACAAGAUGGCAUCAUGAGUCCGCAUGUUCACAUGAUUAAAGGUAUUCCGGUAGACGAUGGGGAUGCGUUCCAUUAGAUAGUAGGCGGGGUAACGGCCCACCUAGUCUUCGAUGGAUAGGGGUUCUGAGAGGAAGGUCCCCCACAUUGGAACUGAGACACGGUCCAAACUCCUACGGGAGGAAGCAGUGAGGAAUAUUGGUCAAUGGGCGCAGGCCUGAACCAGCCAAGUAGCGUGAAGGAUGACUGCCCUAUGGGUUGUAAACUUCUUUUAUAAAGGAAUAAAGUCGGGUAUGUAUACCCGUUUGCAUGUACUUUAUGAAUAAGGAUCGGCUAACUCCGUG